AGUGAACGCUGGCGGUAGGCCUAACACAUGCAAGUCGAACGGCAGCACAGUAAGAGCUUGCUCUUACGGGUGGCGAGUGGCGGACGGGUGAGGAAUACAUCGGAAUCUACUUUUUCGUGGGGGAUAACGUAGGGAAACUUACGCUAAUACCGCAUACGACCUACGGGUGAAAGCAGGGGGUCUUCGGACCUUGCGCGAUUGAAUGAGCCGAUGUCGGAUUAGCUAGUUGGCGGGGUAAAGGCCCACCAAGGCGACGAUCCGUAGCUGGUCUGAGAGGAUGAUCAGCCACACUGGAACUGAGACACGGUCCAGACUCCUACGGGAGGCAGCAGUGGGGAAUAUUGGACUAUGGGCGCAAGCCUGAUCCAGCCAUACCGCGUGGGUGAAGAAGGCCUUCGGGUUGUAAAGCCCUUUUGUUGGGAAAGAAAAGCAGCAGGUUAAUACCCCGCUGUUCUGACGGUACCCAAAGAAUAAGCACCGGCUAACUUCGUG
rnacentral:rRNA from 1 species